AUGAGAGGAAUCUUUUGGAAUAGCAGAGGUAUGAAAGACUUGGCUAAAAGAAGGUUUCUUGCAGAUGCUUCUAUCGAGCAUAGGUUGGAUUUUAUUGCACUCUCAGAAACUGGUAGAGAUAAUUUUUCUCCCCAGUUUCUCAGUACUUUAUCGAGAGAUGUAAAUUUUGAUUGGCAUUGCCUUCCUCCGAGAGGAAGAUCGGGUGGGAUCUUACUUGGAGUUAGAUGUGAAUCGCUGGAAGUCCAAAGCGUAGUGAUGGAAGAUUUCGCAGUUAAGUUUCGGGUCAGUUCGAAGGCCGAUGGGUUUAAUUGGGCACUGGUGGCGGUAUAUGGUGCCGCGCAGCCCGAACUCAAACCAGAGUUUUUGGCAGAUCUUGUUCGAAUUUGCGGUUCCGAGCAGCUUCCAAUCUUGGUUGGGGGUGAUUUCAACAUUAUUAGAAGGAGAUAG
rnacentral:rRNA from 1 species